GGCCUUUGUAAUGAUGACCCUUUGCGCCAUCAUUGCUAUGAAAAGCCCUCUCUCUCUCUCUCUCUCUCUCUCUCUCUCUCUCUCUCUCCAAGGGGGACAGAUACAAACACAAAACAAUAGUUAUGUGGCUCACCUUUUCCUCCUGGGUUCUGCCAAGUGACCUCUGCUAUUUAAAGUCCAAUAACAUUUUUCACAACCCACAUUUUUGUUACCUUUCUCUUCUCCAGGUUUACACACAUUCAACUCUCUCUCUCUCUCUCUCUCUCUGAGAGAAAAGCAGCAACUGAAUUGUAGAGGAAAACAAUGUGUAUGAACUCCUCAGAAAUGACUCCAUGCAGUCCUCAAUACUCUGCUUUUCGCCUUCGAGGGCCAUCAAACCAACAUAACUUUCGAGUUCACCGCUUAAUCAACAGGAAGAGGAAAACAGCAAAAGAACCAAAAGGGGCAGAGAUAAGAGGGGCAAAGGUAGAGAUGGAAAUCAAGAACCUGAAGCUAUACAUGGAGAACCAGAGCAUUAUAGAAGAGAACAACAAGCUGAGGAGAAAAGCACUUCUUCUUGUCCAAGAGAACCAAGCCUUGUUUUCACAGCUCCAAGAGAAGAAGCUCUCUCCCAACAAAUGAAACAGUACCAAUAUAUGCAUGCAGCAGCACCAUGAAACUGAAACCUCAUUACCCUAAUGUAAACAUAUAUUUAAUUUAAUGCUUUGCAAUUUUCAUAUAAUUAUUAUUAGGAAAAAAAGUUAACAAGGAGUAGUUCUACUAGGGGCCCCUCUUAGCCUUGAUUUGUUCUUUCAUCUCCUUGUUGGGGAAGUUCUAAAUUCUAAUGUCUCAUCUUCCCCCCCACAUCACUUAGUUUGUGGGCUAAUUUUGGUUAAUUAUGGAUGAUUUACCUUUUAUGUGUGUCAUGUAGAUAAGUAUGUGCAAUCCUUUUACAUAUUCUUCUGUAACUUCA